AUGUACGCGGACGGAGACGAGCUCCGGCGGCUGCCGGGGUGCCGGCACGCGUUCCACCGGCGGUGCGUCGAUGAGUGGCUGCGCCGGCGGCCCAGCUGCCCGCUCUGCCGCACGUCGCCGCAGUCCACCACCGCGAAGAAUUCCUGA
rnacentral:rRNA from 1 species